AACUAUCGCUGGAUUACUGAUUCUCAGACAAGUUUUGGAGUUAUGAGAAGGUUUUUUUCCCUCUAUUUUAUGGAUUUAGGGACAUCUAUCUGCAAUGGACAUUGGAGACAACGAUAACCUCGAGAAAUUGACUUCUACGUAACAGUGGAGGAUACAGCCGUGCAACGGACACAGACACUUAGAAGUCAAAUCUUGUCAUUAAAAGGAACUGACAGAGUUUUGUCCAAUUCAAUGUUGCUGAAGAAUGAAACAUCCAAACGCAGUCUUAUCAGGUGCACACCUGUUAUAAUGGAUGGUUGGCUAAAAUUAGACUGCAGCACCUCAAGAAGCAGCAGAGGUGAGAACGAGAGAGGAAUAAGAGGGCAGUCGACCCUGUCCUUGCAGCAUAAGAGUGCCAGUGCUCCUUUCAGAUUGAGCAAGCAGUUGGACUGAGUUACCUCAGCGGUUGAGGAUGAACCCAGUUUGGUUUCUGGCUGCCCAUACACUGCUUCUAAUACUACUCUGCUGGAUUUGGCUUCACCAUCUGAGUACGACCGUAUGUCGAUGCUGUUCCUUAAUGAAAACACCAAUGAGCGUCCUGAAGAGGGACCAGAGGGAGGCAGAAUGUACUGUAGUACUACUGAAUCAGGUUGGUCUCUGGCUAAUAAAAAAAAGACAUGUGUCCGAGCCAGGCCAAAAA